rnacentral:lncRNA from 1 species
CAAAAUCAAUUCAUAUAAGUCAUGCUAUCAAAAUGGUACAAGUCAUCACUUUUUCUCCCCCUUUGUCAUCAACAAAAAGGAGAUGAGACUUUGAAGCACACAAUUUGUGAUCAUAAAAUCAUUAGAGAAAGAAUUUAGCAUUAAGAUUAACCGUUCAAAUUUGCCAAAAAUAUUUAUCCAGAAUUCAUCUUAAAAAAAAUCAGCAUUCAUCCAAAAAAAA